rnacentral:RNase_P_RNA from 1 species
UUUGAUAGUCGCUGCAAUAAAAUUGUAGAGGAAAGUCCAUGCUUGCAUAGACUGAGAUGUCUAUAGUGAUUGUGCCAAAGGAAAAAAUAACUUUGGGCUGCUAUUUAUAGUAGACGGCGAGAGUGAACCUAAGUGAAAAUAUGGGGAUGUCUCAUAACGUGCCACAGUGACGAAUUUAUUAGAAAUAAUAAGGUGAAACGCGGUAAACCCCUCAAGCAAGAAACUCAAAAUUGGUGGAGGAACUUCAAGACGAGAAAUGAAUCGUUUAGAAGAUGCACUUGCAUAGAUAAAUGACUAUCGCUACGAAAGUAGAACAGAACAUGGCUUAUAA